UCUUUAGGGGCGGCAAGCAUGAUGGAAUCACCUCCCCCACACCUAGCCCAAUGCGUGGCACACAGAAGGAAGUUAAUAGACGUUUGGUGAAUAAAACUGCUGUUCAUCAAGGCAGUAAGCAACCACAAAGAGACAACUUGCCCUACGUUCCUGAUGGCGGGUACCAUGAUUUGCAUCUUGGAAAUCAGCUCCCAGAUGCCUAACCAUUGGCCAAAUGUUUGGAAUGCCAUUUUUGAAAUUCCUGAUAGAAGAGUUCCUACUGCCCUGGAGAUGUCUCUUCUGCAUAUUCUUAGAAGCAGAACAAAAAAACAAGAACACUUGAAAAAAAAAAGGGGGGGAGCAGCUUUCCCCGAUUGCCAAGUGAAAUACAGCUUUGUUAUUGAAGUCUCUUGCUCCGCCUUUGGAAAAGCUGGGAUUACAUGUUCUUUUCUCCAGUGUCUUAAAAGAAAAGUAAGACAUUGGCUUCAAAUUAAUCCACCAAACUUUGAACUCAAAUGAGGUUCCUUUCUAGAAUACCACACUAGAGAAUAACAGAGAAGGCUGCUGGGAGCUGGAGUGGGGAGGAAUGUGCUUUCCUGUUUCUCAAACUGGGGUUCCCCGGAUGGCCUCCACUGGGCCCACCAGUGGUGACUCACUCUCCAGGAUGCCUUGUUGGACCACAUUGGGUGUCUCACAGCCAACAUACCACUUGGAGUUCCCGAGGAGAAUUCAGAUUUGUUGUUCCCACUUGGCCGCCUUCACGGGAUGGCUUCUGAGUCAGGGGGCAUUCGAUAAAGACUUGUCCAUGGGGUCGCAAAGAGUUGGACACGACUGGCGACUAAGCACACAGCACAGACCACGCUGGCUGUAAUUUUGAACAAACACAUCUGCCUGAAGGCGGUUUGGAGCAGAGAAAGAGGAGAAAGAAGAUUCUGUAAAGUUGCAUGGUCGUGGUUCUUGUCUGAAGGCUAUUUGAUUCAUGAUUAUCUUAUUUGGUGUCUUACAGGUACCUCCUGCUUGCUCUAAAGAAAGCUCAUCCAUGGACCACCCCCCAAAAGGAAAAACUGGGUGGACAAACCUCUCUUUUGUUUGUUGAAGCAGCGGGGUGUGGGACUUGGGCCUGGGGCAUGUGGAUAGGGAAUGUCGGUUGGAAUCCCCGUCUGGCCUCAUUUAACGUCCUGUGAAUGUCCUGCCAGCUUUUUUGUCCCCAGCAAUGCCUGUGCCCAUCACCCUCCAACAAUAGAGUGGCUGUGGAAGGGGACAGGGCUCCACGAGGCUUCAGGAAGGCUGGGAGGAGGAGGAGAGUGCAGACCAGCACGUAGGGAAGGAUGCUGCAUAUCACCCACUCUCAGUUCCAGCCCCUCUCCUCCUACCCAGUGGCAGGGUGGCAAGGUUCUUAAUGAUAAUUUUUAAAAGUGUCAGGCCUCUGCUCAUUUGCAAAUCUCUGUGUCUCAUUUGCAUACCAGAUCCAGGAGGCCCUGACUCUGCAUAUGGAAAAUGGAACACAGUAUAAAUAAGAUAAAUGGAUUAGGUCAGCUGACUGCAACUGUAGCCGCGGCCAACCCACAGGCACAGUGUGCAUGAACUACAGGGGAGGUUUGUCAAUCAGGCAAUUUAUUCCCACCCUAGAAGUGGAAAAGCAGGAUGUGCACGCACGCUCGUAGACUCACUGAGAAUUCCCGCUGGGAAAUAGGUCAUCAGACAGUCCCUGCACGUUGCUGGCAGGGCCUGCCAGUCCCCUGUGGAGGCGAAGGGAAGCUUGGGGAGACCACCUAAGGACCUCCACCACUGUCCAGGACCACCGUCAGUAAGAAGGUUUGUGUCUGCAGAUUGCAGGCAGUCCAUUGAAAGCCAGCCUCCCUGAACUUGCUGACUUAGCCAGAGAGCAGAGUUGCUGGAAAGAGGGGGUUGGGGACCUUUCAGGUCUUCUCCAUGUGCUUGUCCUUGGAGAAGAUAAGAAGACAAGAAGAUUGUUGGAGGCCCGACCAUCCUGGGACAGUGGUCUAGGCCAGCCAGCCUGGGGACACAGGAAGUCUCAGCUCCUUUUCAGCUGGCAGAAAAAAAAAAAAAAAUUCACCCUGGCAGCCGGCCACUGACUCCGGCCUGCCUACCUCUCAGCCCCUUCUCAGCCUGACACGUGAGUCCCCGAGGCUGACCUCCACCCUUUCUGGACAUGGGCCAUCCAUCAUGGCAAUGGCAUCCAGGACAGUAGCAGGCGACUCGUCCUUUUGAUCAGCACAACUCCGGAAGGGAGGUUCGGGCAACGGACUGCUGUAGGGGGAUUAAUAUGAUGGGAUGUGCGCACCUUUUGCAAUUAGUUAAUGGCUUGGCUGUGUGAAGUAGGCUUCUUUGGCCUUCUGUCUUGGGAUUAAAGACCUCAGAUGA